GUGCAUAUGUAAUGUAUGAGAAUGUGUGUGAUAUGGGGCACUUAAAGCACAUAUUCCCCCCCCCCCCAUAAGCAGAAAGAUGCAUUAACUUUUUCUACUCCAAACAAAUGUGAAUCAAGAUGUUAGGAUUCUGUUGCCCUAAUACUAGGCAGCAUUUUUGUAUCAGAUUGGAAACUCAUCUCUUAAAGCUAAGUCUAUCUUGCCUAAUUAAAUAUUUCUUCUUAAUGAAUGACCUUACCAUUAGUUUUGUAUUUACAUCUACUGUUUAACUGAGGUACUUUGAGGCACUUUAAAUAGUGCAUUGUAAUACCAUUUAAUUGGUCCAGACUCCUUGGUUCAAUUCUUCAUGAUCCUUCCAUUAAGAAGUAUAUCAAACUUUACAUUGCUUAUCAUAAUCACCCUACAGUGAUUUCUACCUAAUCUUUUACCUAUAUUCUGAAGGGUCUAUGAGUAAAAUGAAGACAGAGUUUCAUUUUUUC